rnacentral:rRNA from 1 species
AAUGAACGCUGGCGGCAUGCUUUACACAUGCAAGUCGAACGGCAGCAUGACCUCGUUUGCUAGGUUGAUGGCGAGUGGCGGACGGGUGAGUAAUGCAUCGGAACGCCUCUUUUAGUGGGGGAUAACGUAGCGAAAGGUACGCUAACACCGCAUAUUCUCUGAGGCGGAAAGCAGGUGACCUUCGGGCGUUGCGCUGGAAGAGCGGCCGAGGUCGGAUUAGCUAGUUGGUGAGGUAAAGGUUUACCAAGGCAACGAUCCGUAGCGGGUCUGAGAGGAUGAUCGGCCACACUGGAACUGAGACACGGCCCAGACUCCUACGGGAGGCAGCAGUAGGGAAUGUUGGGCAAUGGGCGCAAGCCUGAUCCAGCGAUGCCGCGUGAGUGAAGAAGGCCUUCGGGUUGUAAAGCUCUUUUGGCUGGGAAGAACUCGCACCGACUAAUACAGGGUGUGAAUGACGGUACCAGCUAAAGAAGCACCGGCUAACUACGUG